UACGGAGGAUCCGAGCGUUAUCCGGAUUUAUUGGGUUUAAAGGGAGCGUAGGUGGAUUGUUAAGUCAGUUGUGAAAGUUUGCGGCUCAACCGUAAAAUUGCAGUUGAAACUGGCAGUCUUGAGUACAGUAGAGGUGGGCGGAAUUCGUGGUGUAGCGGUGAAAUGCUUAGAUAUCACGAAGAACUCCGAUUGCGAAGGCAGCUCACUAGACUGUUACUGACACUGAUGCUCGAAAGUGUGGGUAUCAAAC
rnacentral:rRNA from 1 species